UACGGGAGGCAGCAGUAAGGAAUAUUGGUCAAUGGACGCAAGUCUGAACCAGCCAUGCCGCGUGGAGGAUUAAGGCCCUCUGGGUUGUAAACUCCUUUUAUCUGGGAAGAAAUGUCUGCAUUCUUGCGGACUUGACGGUACCAGAGGAAUAAGCACCGGCUAACUCCGUGCCAGCAGCCGCGGUAAUACGGAGGGUGCAAGCGUUAUCCGGAUUCACUGGGUUUAAAGGGUGCGUAGGCGGACAGGUAAGUCAGUGGUGAAAUCUCCGAGCUUAACUCGGAAACUGCCGUUGAUACUAUUUGUCUUGAAUAUUGUGGAGGUAAGCGGAAUAUGUCAUGUAGCGGUGAAAUGCUUAGAUAUGACAUAGAACACCGAAUUGCGAAGGCAGCUUACUACACAAUUAUUGACGCUGAGGCACGAAAGCGUGGGGAUCAAACAGGAUUAGAUACCCUGGUAGUCCACGCCCUAAACGAUGAUUACUCGACAUACGCGAUAUACUGUGUGUGUCUGAGCG
rnacentral:rRNA from 1 species